GACGAACGCUGGCGGCGUGCUUAACACAUGCAAGUCGAACGGAAAGGCCCUGCUUUUGUGGGGUGCUCGAGUGGCGAACGGGUGAGUAACACGUGAGUAACCUGCCCUUGACUUUGGGAUAACUUCAGGAAACUGGGGCUAUUACCGGAUAGAACCUCUUGCUCCAGGGUGGGGGUUGAAAAGUUUCGGCGGUUGGGGAUGGACUCGCGGCUUAUCAGCUUGUUGGUGGGGUAGUGGCUUACCAAGGCUUUGACGGGUAGCCGGCCUGAGAGGGUGACCGGCCACAUUGGGACUGAGAUACGGCCCAGACUCCUACGGGAGGCAGCAGUGGGGAAUAUUGCACAAUGGGCGGAAGCCUGAUGCAGCAACGCCGCGUGCGGGAUGACGGCCUUCGGGUUGUAAACCGCUUUCGCCUGUGACGAAGCGUGAGUGACGGUAAUGGGUAAAGAAGCACCGGCUAACUACGUG
rnacentral:rRNA from 1 species